UCUUGACUAGUAUAUCGGUUUAGUACAGCCGCUUGUCAUAGGCAUUAUCGCUGUAAUCUAUUACGCGGCAGAGCUGGGUUCGACUCCCAGGUCGAGAG